GAUGAACGCUAGCGGCAGGCCUAACACAUGCAAGUCGAGGGGUAGAAGUUACUUGUAACUUUGAGACCGGCGCACGGGUGCGUAACGCGUAUGCAAUCUACCUUUUACAGAGGGAUAGCCCAGAGAAAUUUGGAUUAAUACCUCAUAGUAUCUUUGCCUGGCAUCAGGUGAUUAUUAAAGUUCCAACGGUAAAAGAUGAGCAUGCGUCCUAUUAGCUAGAUGGUAAGGUAACGGCUUACCAUGGCAACGAUAGGGAGGGGUCCUGAGAGGGAGAUCCCCCACACUGGAACUAAGACCCGGACCAGACUCCUACGGGAGGCAGCAGUGAGGAAUAUUGGACAAGGGGCGCAAGCCUGAUCCAGCCAUGCCGCGUGCAGGAAGAAGCAUCUAUGGUGUGUAAACUGCUUUUGUACGGGAAGAAACACUCCUGCGUGUAGGAGCUUGACGGUACCGUAAGAAUAAGGAUCGGCUAACUCCGUGCCAGCCGCCGCCGUAAGAC
rnacentral:rRNA from 1 species